UUUUGUAAGUACUAUAUUAUAAUAUAGGUAGUAUAAUAUCAAAUAAUAAUAUUAUUAUUGUGUUGUUGACAAUUUGACAAUUGUGGCACUGAAAUGCGCGUCAAUUACGGGAAAAAAAAUUGUCAUAGGUAUGUUCUAUAUUUUUUUCCGAAUACCUGUCACCUGAUUAUCGCGAACGCCGGCUGUAUCGCCAACUUGUUUAGUGCAGUUUGCCAGUUGCCGACUGCCGAGUCGGCCGAGUACCUGUGUUUCCUGUGAAGUGUCGAAUAAUAGUCGUGGACUAUGGUACGGGUAAUAAUUGUUUUCGUCGAUAUAAACUGUCGUUUGGUGAAUCAUGAUAUCGGAAUAUUCGUAUCGCAUUAAUUAUUGUGCCUAUUAUCUAUAAAACUGAAACUAUUGUAACUGUUAUACUUAUCAAAUUGUAUACCUACACGGCUACGCGUGGUUUGAAUCGUAUUUUAACAACCAUCAGCUAUAUAUUAUAGCACUGCACCGGCCGAUAAAUAAUAAUCCGAUUGAGCACACGCUUAUACAUAAAUAUUUACUCGUCUCACUUUCAGUUUGUACAUCGCUUGCACAAAAUCAUAUUAUUGUAAUGCAUGACAAAUUAUCUAAAACAAACACACACUUUUUUAAUUUUUUUUCCCACGCAUGAUCAUAACACAAUAAUAAUAAUAAUAAUAAUAUAUUUUUUGUUAUUUCGGAAAAAUAGCGAAUAGUAUUAUAUAAGUUAUAAUUAUUGUUAUUUCUGCGUUUUGACCGUCGCCAAAAAAUAGGAAUUCAUCGUCUGUUCAGAGCUGAAAAUAAUUUCAAAUUCUCAUCGCAAUAUGUAUCAGAGGUUUAUUGACGAUCCUUCUGCCGGUCCAUCGUCUACAGUAGCUAUGACCCCAGGCGAAUUAGAACCAUCAUCUCUUAAGUCGACUACAUCAAAAUCAUCGUGUGAAAAUAGGACAUCGGCGCAUAACUUUUUACAUGCGAAAAAAACGUCUGGCCGUAAAUAUACAGUUUCUAUUGUUCUCAUAUGUACCUAUUUGGCUUUUUUGUACUAUAGUUCUUAUGGCAAAACAAGAAAGAAAAGUAGAUGAUGUCCAUCAAGUAACAUUAGCUCCAAAUGAAACUAAAACUCAGAUAAUAUACAAAAACUAUAUGCCUAACCAGUGUUUGGAAGGAACGAGUUCCAAAAGGAACGGAUUCCUGGAACGAAUUCCUUUUUAAGGAACGGCACGUUGAACGAAUUCCUUUUUAUAAAAAAAGAACGAGAAAAUGAACGAGUUCUUUUUUUCAAGGAAAAAGAACGAAAUUUUUCGUUCCUUUCAAGUUCCAAUUUACACAGAUAUAUAAAUAAUUGAAAUUGAAAUAUUUUUUUUCUUAGUGUGUGUAUUUCCAAUAUUAUGAUCGUUAUCGAGUAUCCGAGUAUCAAACUUCAUCGUUAAAGUGUUAGUCCUUAAUCAUUAGGUGGGUAUUCUGGUAUAAUAUGUUAUAAUAUUCUAACAUUUUGUUCCAUUUAUAUUACAGUAAAACUUCCAUUCAACAAACUUCCAUUUCACAACAUUUUCUGUGUAACGAAAUAUUUUUGAAAACCAAAACCAAAUGUAUUCAAUUAUAUUUAACGAAAAUAUUCUAUAUAAUACAAAUUUUUUUUUAUGAUCAAUGAGACCUCGUAAUUUAUUUUUUUUUGUUAGAUUGUUUUGAGUUAGAAAUUCAUAAAAAAUUUUCUUUUUAAAUCUAAGAUUUGAAAAUGUAAUACAAGAUUCCUCAUAAGUUUGUCUACAUUUAUCAAAAAAAAAAUGUCUACAAGAAAGUCAAAUUAAAUUCUUAUGAACGUUUGAAAUAAAUAUUUUUACAACAUUUGAUAUUCACUCGAUUUCUCAUGUAACGAUUUUCUUAUUUUCUUGUAAUUAAAAAACGUACGACUGUAGAUACUUGAAAAUUUCACUGAAUGUUUUUAUUAGCAUUUUCUAUACACGAUAAAAUGUUGAAAAUAAUUUUACUCUUUUUGAGCUGUUUACGGACAUAGUCAGUUUUAAAUUUUUUUAGUUUUUUUUUCUAUAAAUAUCAAUAAAAUUUUAUUUGUUGGGUAAAAAGGCGUGAAAAUUUAAUAUAAGGUUCCUGAUAAUUAUAUCGUUCUAAUAGCAGUUGAAAAAUAUUAAAAAUACAUAGACACAAUUUUAUAAGCAUUUAAAGUUCAGAUUUUGACAAACUUUUAAUAAUAAAUUUAAUAAUUAUUUAGUAGCUAAAAAUUUAUAAAAUGUUCAACUUUUAUAGCUAAAGGAUUGAAAAUUUAAAACUAAGUUCCACGUAAAUAGGUUAUAUAUAAAUUACUUUAUUUACAAUAAUAUCAUUAAAAUAUACUUGGUAAUAUCAUAGGCUGAUUGACUGUUUUCGCUCAGAAUCGUUUUUUUUAUACAAUGAUAUUAUUAAUUUAAAUUUAACACCAUCCAUUACAUUGACCCACUUGUAACCUACUGUACAGCAGAGCGAUAUCCACUGACCCACCUUUUUUAGUUUUCUUUUCUAUAAAUAUCAAUAAAAUUUUAUUUAUGGAUAAAAAAGCUUGAAAAUUAAAUACAAGGCUCUUUACAUAUUGUUACAAAGAAAUUAGAAAAAUAUUAAAAAUCCAGUCACAAUUUUUUUUUAUAUCUAUUUAAAUUUCAAAUUUUGACAAGAAACGUAAAAAUCAUGAAAAUGUGCAAAUUAUUUUGAGUUAGAAAUUUUUUGUUUUAAAAUGUUGAACAUUCUUUGGAUGACAAAAUGUACGUACCUACUAUUAAUUUAUUAUUACAUUUACUUACUAUUUAAUUGCAAUUUUUAUAUUAGGUAUGUUACAGAACACGUGUAUUAUAGUAAUAAACUAAAAAACAUACAUACGUAUUAUAACAAAUAACUAAUAUUAUGCUACUAGUACCUAUGUUACAAUAGCCACUAGGGUAUGGUUGUGGGUACGACGAGUAGUACACCUGUGUACCUACAAACAGUUUCUGUAUUGCAAAAACUUUCCUGGUUUAAAUUAUUAAAUUGUAUGGUUAUUGAUACCUGCUAGUACAGAAAAAAUAUGUCAUGAUCAAAUAUACAAAUUUAAAACUUCUUCCAAUCAAAAAUGUUAAUUACACGAGAUGAAUUAUUCUAGAAUUGAUUUAAAAAUAUCAAAAAUUGGAUAUAAAUAAUAAAAUUGCAAUUUUCAGCAUUAAAUGUAAUUGUUUUACAAUGCAAUUUAUUAAAAUAUGAAUUUAAUUGUAUAACAAUAACAAUACAAUAAACAAUUCAUAGUGUUAGUUUUAUAAGUGUACAAAAAUAAUAUACUAUCAUAAUAUUUUAUUUUUAUACAUUAUAGUAUUAUACACCGAUACAUAUUAUUACAAUGAAUGGAUCAAACAUACCUACACAUAAUAAUGUACCACAGUUAAGAGGCCUCGCGCCCUCGCUACUGUCGUCAAUUUGAGCUCAAAAGACCGUAAGUUGUAACAAAAUUAAAGUUAGUUUUCGUCGUCCGAUUUUUAUUCUGAAAAACCCGAACUCGCCAGAAAAUUGUCUAUGGAUUGUACGGAACACUUUGUAAAAAUUAAAACUUAUAUUAUAGUAAACUGUAAUUGAUGCAUGUAAAUGUUGCCCCUCAAAUAUUAGCCGUAACGAGGCCAUUUAACGAAAUUAAUAAUAAUAUUAUCAUUACUAGGGUUCGGAUUUAAAGGCAACUCGGAAGAUACUCGGCAGUCGAACGUGGACGUCUAGCCAUAGUUUGGGCGGUAGACAGGUUCAGGCCGUAUCUUGAGUCCGGUAAGUUUAUGUUAUUUACGGAUAACGCGGCACUCCGAUGGUUACAGCAAGCUCGCUGUACCAACAGCAAACUAACGCGAUGGGCGUUACAACUCGGGGCUUUCGAUUUUGAAAUCCGGCACGUUCCCGGGACAGAAAAUGAAGCAGCCGACGUCAGCUAUCCCGUUGUCCGGUAGGACCGAAUAUGGUGGACGAAGAGUCGUUGGUGAAUAAUAUCCACGAUCCUCCGGUCAUGAUUCGGACUGGAAGGUGUCCGGAACCUUUGGUGAUCUGUCCGGAGUGUCCAGUGUGGGGCGAUCCAGCCGAAGAAGGACGAUGGACACGUAUCAUUGCAAGAUAUCCGAGAGUGGCAACAGAACAACCCGAACAUACGGCAGAUAGUUGCUAAACUCUGGCCGUGGAUUUUCGGGUCGUUCUGUUGCCACUUUCGGAUAUCUUGCAAUGAUAUGUGUGGCCGUGGUGGAGCGGUGGAUCCAGGCCAUGGAGGUGACACCCGGCCAUCCUCCCAGUGGAUUAGCCCUGUUGCUCGGGCGAGUCUCGCGAACUUGGGGGGGGGGGGGAGUAUGUCGCGGUCGUUAUAUCGCAACGUCCGCGGCGCGGCGUCUCUAUCGACGUCCGCGAGAUCGCGACCGACAACCGACAACGGUGAACGGCUGUGAUAGCUUUUGCCUGACCGUCGUCGUCGCAACAACGCUGUAAUUGUCAUUGUCACAUAUAUUAUUUUUAUGAUCUAUACCAAUAAAAGUUGUGUCAACGUUAAAGCGUGUCGUUAGUGUGAGUACAUUCUGUCCAGACCGUUUCAACACCUACAAGUAAGUAUACAAUUUAAAAAGCAAACGUAUUUUUUUUUUUAAAUUAGUGUAAUUGAUUAUUACACUUAUAUAUCAAAGCAAAUGUUUUUAAGCUUAAUGUUAUAAGUCAAUUUGAUUUCAGAUAAUCAGCUUUCAAAGGAGAUAACGCCCAAUUCUAUACAAGCUCUCCAAAAGAAAGAUGUGGUCUAAUGCAUCAGAGGGACAAGGAUAUAUAAUGAUGAAAGGCAGGGGUAAAGCGGGGUGAUGGAACUUUGUUGAAAGGAUCAAUCGAUCAAUGACAAAUAUAGCGAGGGGAAAGAUACCAAUAGAAAUAGACUUUGGAAAAGAUGGAAAGACAGUAUCAAGGAAUUAUUAGAAUACAUUUUAGUAGACUGGGAGUAGGCAUAUGAUUAAGUUUAAAGUAAGCGGCAGGGUCUAACCGGCUCUUAAAGAAAAAAAAAAUAUAAAAAUAUUAGUAUUUAUAAUAGGUAAGUACCUAAUAUUAUUAAUAUACAAUAUAUUAUGUUGAAUUAUGUUCUGUCGAAAAUAUUGUAUUUAUUUUAGUAUGAUUUACUAUAGUAGUAUGUAAUUAUAAUUAGAAUAGUGUUAAUACAAUACAAUGUGAUGUAAUAUUAUACUAUACAGUUUAAUUUAUAUUUAUCUUAAAAUGAUUAAACAAAAUAUUUAAUUUUCUUCAACUUCUUGUUAAACAUACUCUUCAAUAUUAAAAAAUUUGGAAAGUGAAGUUUUAUAUUUAUCUAUUGUAAUAAUAGCAUCACAAAAGGGUUUAACCGCUUUAGCCUUGGCUGAUUCUGCGAAAUAUAUUAGUAUUAGAAAUGUUGAGUGUGUUAAUUAGAAUGCCCUUCCACAGACACGUACAGAACUUGGUUUGUGUGCGUUUGUAAGGAGUAAUAUUUAGCCCACAAACCAGGCUAAAGUUUAAAAAUAAAUAAAAAAUAUGAAAUGCAAAACGCAUAAUACACAAUACUAAAUAUAUAUACAUACUCGAUAUGCCAAACAAAAAUGUUUUUAUUGACUUUAAAACAUCUAUAAAAAUAAAAUGUCAAAUAUUCAAUAAAUGAAAUAAAUAAUACAUCUGAUAAAAAAAUUGAUUGAAUCUCAACAUUUAUUCCAAUGACAUGUACAGCACUUAUAUCUUAAUUAUGUUGCUGUUGACGUACCUAUACUUUUAGUAAUAAUUAAUGACGUAUCAAUAAAAUUGAAAUAAAAAAAAAUUAAAACUUAUUGUGUUUCUAUAUUUCAACAACAAACUAAACAUAUUUAUAUUUUUUUAACGUUGACAGGUAACUAUUUAAUGGAGUGGAUUAUUAGUCCUAACAAUCUCUGCAUAUGUAUAUCCAUAAUAUGGCUAUAGGUACCCAAAAUUCAAGUUUCAACAUAUCAUUAGAAUUAAUUUAAAUGACAAUGUAUUUUGGGUUUUGACCUAUGAACCUAAAGAGAAAUAAAUAGAACAUUUGCCUUGGACCUUUAGCAGCACUAAAAUUGCAAUGUCCAACUUUGAGAUUAUAUUCUAGUAGCUUAUCAGACAAAGUAGGUACUGAAGUAGGUUCAACAGACGUGAGCUCAUGUUGAUGGUGGAAUCAAUCAUGAGCACAAAAGAAGCGGACGAACGGGAGGAGCAGCUGCACGACUGACGUCAGCCGCACGAUGAAGAACGGCUCGUAGACACAUUUCGAUUUCGUAACAGCGAUACGUCGGAGGUGUCACCGACCACCGUUCUUCAUCCCCCACGAUGACACCACGGGAGGGAUCUAGACCACACCGGAUGUCUGGAUAGGACGAACGAGAUGACCAGGGCGGCGGACUCCGGUCGGCCCUAGAAGCCAAGGAAGGCGCUGAAGUCUUUAAAACUAAUAAAUACUAUAAAUGUCAUGUUUUAGGGGGGGGGUAAGUCGGGGUAUUGUCCCGUCUACCUCCCCCGUAUGUAUAAUAUAUUUGUUUUCAAAUAAACGAUGGCGGCGUCGCGGAAGCAUUGCGAAAGCAGUUCCCGCGGCGUCGUCGGUUCAAA